AAUAGAUACCCAGGUAGUCCACGCCGUAAACGUUGGGCGCUAGAUGUGGGGACCUUUCCACGGUUUCCGUGUCGUAGCUAACGCAUUAAGCGCCCCGCCUGGGGAGUACGGCCGCAAGGCUAAAACUCAAAGGAAUUGACGGGGGCCCGCACAAGCGGCGGAGCAUGCGGAUUAAUUCGAUGCAACGCGAAGAACCUUACCAAGGCUUGACAUAACCGAGAACACCGUAGAAAUACGGGACUCUUUGGACACUCGGUUACAGGUGGUGCAUGGUUGUCGUCAGCUCGUGUCGUGAGAUGUUGGGUUAAGUCCCGCAACGAGCGCAACCCUCGUCGCAUGUUGCCAGCACGUCAUGGUGGGAACUCAUGUGAGACUGCCGGGGUCAACUCGGAGGAAGUGGGGAUGACGUCAAAUCGAUCAUGCCCCUUAUGUCUUGGGCUUCACGCAUGCUACAAUGGCCGGUACAAAGGGCUGCGAUGUCGUAAGGCGGAGCGAAUCCCAAAAAGCCGGUCUCAGUUCGGAUUGAGGUCUGC
rnacentral:rRNA from 1 species